GACGAACGCUGGCGGCGUGCUUAACACAUGAAAGUCGAACGGUGAAGCUCCAGCUUGCUGGAGUGGAUCAGUGGCGAACGGGUGAGUAACACGUGAGCAACCUGCCCCUGACUCUGGAAUAAGCGCUGGAAACGGCGUCUAAUACUGGAUACGAGAAGGGUCCGCAUGGGCACUUUCUGGAAAGUUUUUCGGUUGGGGAUGGGCUCGCGGCCUAUCAGCUUGUUGGUGAGGUAAUGGCUCACCAAGGCGACGACGGGUAGCCGGCCUGAGAGGGCGACCGGCCACACUGGGACUGAGACACGGCCCAGACUCCUACGGGAGGCAGCAGUGGGGAAUAUUGCACAAUGGGCGAAAGCCUGAUGCAGCGACGCCGCGUGAGGGAUGACGGCCUUCGGGUUGUAAACCUCUUUCAGCAGGGAAGAAGCGAAAGUGACGGUACCUGCAGAAGAAGCACCGGCUAACUACGUG
rnacentral:rRNA from 1 species